UAACUGCCUAGUAGAAUACAAAUAAGUAU
rnacentral:sRNA from 1 species